rnacentral:rRNA from 1 species
AACGAACGCUGGCGGCAGGCUUAACACAUGCAAGUCGAGCGCCCCGCAAGGGGAGCGGCAGACGGGUGAGUAACGCGUGGGAACGUACCUUUUGGUUCGGAACAACUCCGGGAAACUGGAGCUAAUGCCGGAUAAGCCCUAACGGGGAAAGAUUUAUCGCCGAAAGAUCGGCCCGCGUCUGAUUAGCUAGUUGGUGAGGUAACGGCUCACCAAGGCGACGAUCAGUAGCUGGUCUGAGAGGAUGAUCAGCCACACUGGGACUGAGACACGGCCCAGACUCCUACGGGAGGCAGCAGUGGGGAAUAUUGGACAAUGGGCGCAAGCCUGAUCCAGCCAUGCCGCGUGAGUGAUGAAGGCCUUAGGGUUGUAAAGCUCUUUUGUCCGGGAAGAUAAUGACUGUACCGGAAGAAUAAGCCCCGGCUAACUUCGUG